rnacentral:rRNA from 1 species
UGCCCAGACUCCUACGGGAGGCAGCAGUGGGGAAUAUUGCACAAUGGGGGGAACCCUGAUGCAGCGACGCCGCGUGGGUGAAGGAGUAUUUCGGUAUGUAAAGCCCUAUCAGCAGGGAAGAACAAUGACGGUACCUGACUAAGAAGCACCGGCUAAAUACGUGCCAGCAGCCGCGGUAAUACGUAUGGUGCAAGCGUUAUCCGGAUUUACUGGGUGUAAAGGGAGCGUAGACGGCCAUGCAAGCCAGGGGUGAAAGCCCGGGGCCCAACCCCGGGACUGCCCUUGGAACUGCAUGGCUGGAGUGCGGGAGGGGCAGGCGGAAUUCCUGGUGUAGCGGUGAAAUGCGUAGAUAUCAGGAGGAACACCGGCGGCGAAGGCGGCUUACUGGACUGUAACUGACGUUGAGGCUCGAAAGCGUGGGGAGCAAACAGGAUUAGAUACCCCAGUA